rnacentral:hammerhead_ribozyme from 1 species
AUCAAGAUGACGAGUGCCAAAUAGGACGAAAUGCGCAUCCUAGAU